rnacentral:rRNA from 1 species
AUGAACGCUGGCGGCGUGGAUAAGGCAUGCAAGUCGAGGGCGCUCGCAAGAGCGACCGGCGAACGAGGUAGUAACACGUAGGUACGCACCCUUUAGUCUGGCAUAGCUUCUCGAAAGAGAAGAUAAUUCCGGAUGGUCUCGAAAGAGUAAAGAUUUAUCGCUAAAGGAGCGGCCUGCGACCUAUCAGCUAGUUGGUGAGAUAAUGGCUUACCAAGGCUAUGACGGGUAGGGGAGCUGAGAGGCUGACCCCCACCGGUGGAACUGAGAAACGGUCCACACACCUACGGGUGGCUGCAGUCGAGAAUCUUCCGCAAUGGGCGAAAGCCUGACGGAGCGACGCCGCGUGGUUGAUGAAGUCCUUCGGGACGUAAAAACCUUUUAUGAUUAAGAAAGUUUAUUGAUCUGAUCAUGAAUAAGGGGCUCCAAACUCUGU